AUUGAACGCUGGCGGCAGGCCUAACACAUGCAAGUCGAGCGGCAGCGGGAAAGUAGCUUGCUACUUUUGCCGGCGAGCGGCGGACGGGUGAGUAAUGCCUGGGGAUCUGCCCAGUCGAGGGGGAUAACGAGUUGGAAACGACUGCUAAUACCGCAUACGCCCUACGGGGAAGACAGGGGACCUUCGGGCCUUGCGCGAUUGGAUGAACCCAGGUGGGAUUAGCUAGUUGGUGAGGUAAUGGCUCACCAAGGCGACGAUCCCUAGCUGGUCUGAGAGGAUGAUCAGCCACACUGGAACUGAGACACGGUCCAGACUCCUACGGGAGGCAGCAGUGGGGGAAUUUUGGACAAUGGGCGG
rnacentral:rRNA from 1 species